UCCGUGUAGCUGGUGACCUAACACCCGCCCAUCACCACCGGACAGAUUCUGAACUUGUCCUGUGGUGUUUGGUGUGGUUUUGGGGUACGCAGGAG
rnacentral:pre_miRNA from 14 species